GGCUGUCGAGAUGCCUAAAAAGCAUUUGAUAACAGGGCCCGGGCAAGACCGGUCCCAGCCGCCGCGGUAACCCGGGGGGCUGGAGUGGUGACCGUUAUUAUGGGGUUUAAAGGUUCUGUAGCCGGCAGGAUAAUUCUCUUGAAAAUUCUGGCAGUUAAACGGUCAGGCUUUCAGGAGAUACUGUUUGGUUGGAGCCCGGAAGAGGUAAGAGGUACUUCAGGGGUAGGGGUGAAUUCUGUUAUUCCUUGAAGGCCCACCAGUGGGGAGGGAUUUUCACCAGAACGGUCCGACAGGCAAGGGACAAAGCUGGGGGCGCGAACCGGAUUAGAUACCCGGGUAGUCCCAGCCGUAAACGAUACUCGUUAGGUGUCGCACACGGCGCGACCGUUGUUGGUGCCGUAGGGAAGCCGUGAAACGAGCCACCUGGGAAGUACGGCCGCAAGGCUGAAACUUAAAGGAAUUGGCGGGGGAGCACCACAACGGGGGAGCUUGCGGUUUAAUUUGGACUCAACGCCGGGAAUCUCACCG
rnacentral:rRNA from 1 species